rnacentral:rRNA from 1 species
AAUAGAUACCCAGGUAGUCCACGCAGUAAACGAUGCAGACUAGGCGUGGGGGGACUUGACCCCCUCCGUGCCGAAGCCAACGCGUGAAGUCUGCCGCCUGGGGAAUACGGCCGCAAGGCUAAAACUCAAAGGAAUUGACAGGGGCCCGCACAAGCGGCGGAGCGUGCGGUUUAAUUCGACGCAACGCGCAGAACCUUACCAGGGCUUGACAUGCUCCUGCAGAGCCGUGAAAGCGGUUGGCCUUCGAGGGUGGAGCACGGGUGCUGCAUGGCUGUCGUCAGCUCGUGUCGUGAGAUGUUGGGUUAAGUCCCGCAACGAGCGCAACCCCGUGGCUAGUUGCCGAUGUUUCUAGCCAGACUGCCGGUAGCAAGCCGGAGGAAGGUGGGGAUGAUGUCAAGUCAGCAUGGCCCUUACGUCCUGGGCUACACGCACGCUACAAUGGCCGGGACAAUGGGCUGCCAAACCACAAGGUGGAGCGAAUCCCACAAACCCGGUCUCAGUUCAGAUCGCGGGCUGCAACUCC